GCAGGGUGCGCCCAUCCGUGCGCCGUGCAGCCCCCACCCCGCCCAGGGCCACUGGCUGUUGUCACCCCCGAGUAUGGCAACCCCUCCCCAGCCACCCUGGCCACCACUGACCGGCCUGUCCCGAUGGGUUCCACAUUUCAUGAAAUCAGAGUCGCACCCUGUGCAGCCGACUGCGUCGUGAUUCCCUCAGCACCAUGUUUUCAGGGUCCACACCGCGCAUGUGAAAUUAGACCCCGCUGCUUUUCAUGGCUGAGUACUAUUCCACUGCAGGGACAGACCACAUCUUGGGGUGUCCCUGCCUCUGCCUGUGUGGCUGGUGCUGCUGCUGGUGAGGGGCUCUGCUAACCCUGCCCGGCUGCUGCUGAAGGGCUGCUGGCUCCCUCCCCAGGGACAGGGGGAGCACAGGCCCUUGGCCCCAGCUUCCAGGCGUUGGGCAAAUCAGCUCUGUGGGAGAGGCGGGGGCAGUGAGCCUGGGGUCUGGGGCCUCAUCCUGCGGGUGAGUCAGAGGUGGACGAUUCAGAGGGGAAACUGCAUCUGGCCUAGGAAGGCCCGGCUGGCCACGUGCUGCGUGCUGCGGUCACUCGAGGUGAUGUGCGAGGUGAGGCCUGAGGCCGAAGCAGCUCUGCGACUUGGGGGGAGCAAAGCCGCUCAGCCCCCCGCCCUGCCGAGGGGCCCAUGGUGCCACAUGGUGUCCUGUGCCUCUCCAGUCCUCUUCCUGGCACCCUGAGCCUGUGGGUGUGGGGUCCCGCAGAGCAGACGGGAACCCCCCACUUGGGGGGAAGUGCGUGUGUGUCCGCGUGUGCGUGUGCAUGGCCGUGCAGUCCACACACGCACCCCGGCACCUCCCUGCACCUCCCUGCACCUCCCUGCACCUCCCUGCACCUCCCUGCACCUCCCUGCACCUCCCUGCACCGCGGUUGCUAGGUAGCGGUGAGUCUAGCAGCCGGGCAGUUCUGAGGAGGGGCGGUGGCCAGGUGGUGGGCAGUGCGUCCGGAGGCAGGCCCUGGCCUGGCUUCUGCACCGAGCAUCUGCAGCCCCACGGCCGCCGAGUGGCUCCGCCUCCGUGUCUGCCGCCGCUGGCUCCUUCCUGACCACAGCUCUACCCGCGGCUCCGGCAGGCAGCGCGGGGACAGAGCCAUCUUGGUGUGUGUGCGUGCGUGCCCGUGUGUGCUGGCUACUGACGCUGCGCAGCCCAGCUGCCGCUGCGUGGCGGCUGGCCCCUUCCCUGACCAGCCUGCGGGAGACUAAUGAAUCGUUCCUAGCCGGGCCGCACAGGGCCGGGCUCGCCUCGGCCUGGCCGCUGCCGGGUGCCGCCCCUGCCCGCCCCCGCCCCGUGUAAUCUGACACAGCGCUGCAGUCCUCUCUCGGCCUCCGCUCCUCCGCUCGGGCUGGGCCUGCGGGCCCUCGUCCCAGAUGAAUUUCCCUUUAGGUGUCUGGCGCUCCCCUUCUGCAGAGUCUUCCAUGCCUUGGUUGAGGUCCUGCCUGCUCUGUACCCGGGGACGAUGCGGCUCCAGAGUAAAGACCAGAGCCUGGAACUCAACUGGCUGUGCCUGGCUUGGUUUCCCUCUGGAGCACUGGGCUUGGUUUAAUAAUUCCUGGGCGCUCUUCCCACCGGGCUGUGGAUUGGUCGGCCUGCAUGUCAGAUGCUGAAGUACUCUGCAGGGCUCUCCCACUCAGCAGCAUUCAGAUCUCAUGCCCGGAUGGCGGGGAGCCCGGGCAGGUCCGUG
rnacentral:lncRNA from 1 species